rnacentral:rRNA from 1 species
GACGUAGGGCGCGAGCGUUGUCCGGAUUUAUUGGGCGUAAAGAGCUCGUAGGCGGCUUGUCGCGUCGUCCGUGAAAACCCACAGCUCAACUGUGGGCUUGCGGUCGAUACGGGCAGGCUAGAGUUCGGUAGGGGAGACUGGAAUUCCUGGUGUAGCGGUGAAAUGCGCAGAUAUCAGGAGGAACACCCGUAGCGAAGGCGGCACUCUGGGCCGAUACUGACACUGAGGAGCGAAAGCGUGGGGAGCGAACAGG